rnacentral:lncRNA from 1 species
AUGCGUGGUAUCAAGAGGCGCACGGAGGUGCUCCUGCAGCCUCCUCCCAGCAUGGGACUCCUCACAACCCCCGGCCUCAGCCUCCCCAACAGGGCAGGGGCUCACUCUCACCCACUCUGGGCCAGGAACGCAGCUUUUCGUCCAAUUGGGUGCUCUUUCUUUGCGACUGAUACAAAGUGGGGACAAACGCCGCUUCCAGUGAUGCCCGGGCCCCAGGAGGCUGGGGGAGAAGCGCCCGCUGCCCGGCCUUCAACCUGAGCUGCCUCCAACACUUCCCAGCCCAGACCCCUGCAGCUAAAACACACCCCUGGGUGGAGAUUUAAGAUGCUAAUGAGACACGCAACUGAUGAACAAGCAGGUGCAGGUACUGCGCAUGUGCACCUAGAGGACCCCCCCCCGCCCCGCCCCGCCCGAACAUGUUUCCUAGCAACGCCUCUGCCCACCCGCGGCUGGAGUGCAAUGACACCACCUCGGUUCACAGCAACCUCUGCCUCCCGGGUUAAAGCAACUCUCCUGCCUCAGCCUCCCGGGUUGCUGGGACUACAGGGAUCUGCCACCACGCCCAGCUGAUUUUUUAUACUUUUAGUAGAGAUGGGGUUUCACCAUGUUGGCCAGGCUGGUCUUGAACUGCUGACCUCAAGUGAUCCAUCCACCUUGGCCUCCCAAAGUGUUGGGAUUACAGGCAUGAGCCACCGCGCCUGGCCAAAGUCUGUUUUGAGGGACACAUUAAGAGUGCCCUGUCCCUCCAGACCUUAUGCAUUUUCCAGCUCCUUCAGAUGGUCCUUCGACUGGCUUUCUUUGCUGAACAAAAGAUGCUUAGUCAUGUAGAUGCCAGGCCGUGGGGACUGCAUCAGGCAUUCCAGGCAUUGUAAUUGGGCAUCACCAAUGGCCAACCAGUGAGGCAGGGAAAGGCUUGCUGGUGAGAUGUCAGGCCUCCCAGCCAGCAGGGGGGGCCACCUCAGUCGGGCCUGGAGACUUCCAGCACCCAGGAGACCCAGGACGGUGCAUGCCAAAUGCCCGUGACCUCCUAGGGCCCUGGUUUCAUGAGGAUUCAAGGAGAUGUCCCAGACCCUGUCAUGGUCCAGCUCUUCAUGAGGAGAAAUGUGUGUAACUAUGAAUAGUAAGAUGGGCAAACCUCCUAGUCCCUGCAUUUAGAAGCGCUUUUCCUAAGACUUCCAGUAUGUAUGAAUUCUUUGAAAACUAUAUGACUUUUAUUUCUACUGAUUUUAUUCUGGAUACUAAGGAUGUGCCAAAUGAGUCAGAUACUAAGAUUCAUCCUUUGAAAUCACGUAGUGUGUUUUAUGCAGCUAUCCUCAGAAACAUCAGUGAUGCCUGAACUUUUAAAACAUCUGUUAGAGCAAAAUUAAACGAGCAUUUGGUAGUAAUCUCACUUUGUGUUCAGUUAAUAAGUGGUUGAUAAAGUUUCUAUAUUUGUCUGGAAAAGUUAAAAAAAGUUACAUGUCAUUUGAGGAAAAUAUGUAAUCAGAAAUUUUUGCAUAGAUUGAUUCCAAAAAAGGCAUUUCUAGCAUUGUGGAACAUGGUGAGACAUUAUAUAAAUUCCAGAAAGAAAGCAACUGGAUUUAGAGAUUUAUUGUAAGACACAAAUUCACUGCUGCCUUUACAGUAAGAAAUGUAUGUGCUAACCAUAUAUGCUGUAUUUAUUUUGUUGUUAAGCAUACUUUCAGUUUGCUCUGCGUUCAUGAGAAUACAAACGGUCCCCGAAGGGAAGAGGAAACUUAGUCUUUUUUAAAUGACUUAUGGGAGACCCUCCCUCACCGUAGACCCAUUAAUCAAACCUGAAACUCAGUCUAUUAUAACAUAUAUUCAAAAUCUAGGCCAGGUGCGGCUGGCCAUCCAGGAAUAUGGAAACACGGUGCUGCCCUUGCCUGGGCAAGUGAAACAGAAGCCCAAAGUGCUGCCUGGAGGCUGGGUCCUGUUGAAAACCUAGAAGGAAGGCUCCCCAGCAGAUCAACUUCUUCCUAAAUGGAACGGACCUUACCAAGUGCUGCGAACCACCCCCAGUGGCUGUAAAGCUGCAGGGAAUCGCCAGUUGGGCCUGCAUGACCAGAAUUAAACUUUGCAAUAAACCUUUACAGAAACCAGAGGAAGCCGCUCAUUACACCCAAGAGCUCAAAGAGGCUCUGAAGUUUCUAUUCAAGAAAACAACCCCAGAUGGGGCUGAUCCAGAAGACAAGUAACAUCUUCCUUUUCUGGUGCUCGCCUGCUGUGCUCUAAGCGCUUUUAGAGAUGCUGGUCCGUGUGCUAGGGAAGCAAUUAACAUAACAUAAUUAUGUUAGUCUAUUAAACAUAACUCAGCCUGGCUGGCUUUCCAUGA